rnacentral:SRP_RNA from 1 species
GCUGGGUAUGGUGGCGCAUGCCUGUAAUCCCAGCUACUUGGGAGGCUGAGGCAGGAGAAUCGCUUGAACCAGAGAGUUGGAGGUUGCAGUGAGCUGAGAUCAUGCCACUGCACUCCAGUCUGGCAACAGAGCGAGAUUCUGUCUCAA